rnacentral:rRNA from 1 species
AACGAACGCUGGCGGCAUGCCUAACACAUGCAAGUCGAAACGAAGCCUUCGGGCUUAGUGGCGCACGGGUGCGUAACACGUGGGAAUCUGCCCUUCGGUUCGGAAUAACAGUUAGAAAUGACUGCUAAUACCGGAUGAUGACGAAAGUCCAAAGAUUUAUCGCCGAAGGAUGAGCCCGCGUAGGAUUAGGUAGUUGGUAGGGUAAUGGCCUACCAAGCCGACGAUCCUUAGCUGGUCUGAGAGGAUGAUCAGCCACACUGGGACUGAGACACGGCCCAGACUCCUACGGGAGGCAGCAGUGGGGAAUAUUGGACAAUGGGCGAAAGCCUGAUCCAGCAAUGCCGCGUGAGUGAUGAAGGCCUUAGGGUUGUAAAGCUCUUUUACCAGGGAUGAUAAUGACAGUACCUGGAGAAUAAGCUCCGGCUAACUCCGUG